UCUUCCCGAUACUCCAUAAGGCUUCAGAUACUAAACGUGGAAUGAUCUGAAAGGUUCAGGACGACUGUGCUGGCUGUCACCCUUUGAAUGGUGGAGAAUUCCAUGUUAUUGAUCUAUUGUGGUUAGCAUUUAUAAGCAUGCCUAACUCGUUUCACAUUAAAAAAUGCGAAAGUCGGAAAGUGUAUUGAGUUUUAGGUAGGAUGUGAUUCCUCUCUCUCUUCCUCUCCCACUCAAUUUCUCUCUGUAUUCACCGCAUGCGUAGGCACAGGCACAGCCAACCCCUUUCUCUCUAGUCUCUUGUUCCCACCAAGAUGUAUUUUUCCCUGACCGUAGAUGGCUUUGUUUCCUUGCAAGUCCUCAUCUUCUGUAAUUCCAUUAAAAUUUUCGAGUCUUGUUUAAUUUUUUCUUUGCUUACUAGUUUUAAUCCUGCUAUGAAUUCCAUUGUUCUUUUUGUUGAGAUUUGUGCAGAGGAAAAACAUCAACUUUAUAGAUUGGCGACCACAUUGAAGGUUCCCUUCUCUUUCCCUGUGACAAAUUGCAUCCCUGGGAACAAUUGCUGCCGCACAUAAAAGAUAAACUAGUUUUGUAUUUUCUUGGAGUUGAAAACUAUUGGGUUACCCAUGGACAACACAUCUAAAGCUUCAUCAACUCGUCCAUGGCUCUGGGUGAUUGAAGCCCUAGCAAGCUGUAGGGAAAUAGACAACUCUACUUUACAAGACUUGAUUGAUGUAGCCCCUGUAGAGCCCAGUGAAUUUGGGGAAAACACAAGCGAAUUGGUUGCUGGAAGAUGCUUGGAGAC